UGAAUUUUUUUCACAAUCAUU
rnacentral:piRNA from 1 species